rnacentral:rRNA from 1 species
CCUACGGGUGGCAGCAGUGGGGAAUAUUGCGCAAUGGGCGAAAGCCUGACGCAGCGACGCCGCGUGAGGGAUGAAGGUCCUCGGAUCGUAAACCUCUGUCAGCAGGGAAGAACGGUCACUGUGCUAAUCAGCAGUGAAUUGACGGUACCUGCAAAGGAAGCACCGGCUAACUCCGUGCCAGCAGGCGCGGUAAUACGGAGGAUGCGAGCGUUGAUCGGAAUUACUGGGCGUAAAGCGCUCGUAGGCGGUAUGUCAAGGCAAGGGUGAAAUGCCCGCGCUCAACGUGGGAACUGCCUUUGAAACUGGCAGACUGGAGUGUGUGAGAGGAUAGUGGAAUGCCAGGUGUAGGAGUGAAAUCCGUAGAUAUCGGGAGGAACAUCAGUGGCGAAGGCGACUAUCUGGCACAUAACUGACGCUGAGGAGCGAAAGCGUGGGGAGCGAACAGGAUUAGAUACCCCAGUAGUC